rnacentral:rRNA from 1 species
UACGGGGGGGGGCAAGCGUUGUUCGGAAUUACUGGGCGUAAAGGGCUCGUAGGCGGCCAACUAAGUCGGAUGUGAAAUCCCCAGGCUUAACCUGGGAACUGCAUCCGAUACUGGAUGGCUUGAAUCCGGGAGAGGGAUGCAGAAUUCCAGGUGUAGCGGUGAAAUGCGUAGAUAUCCGGAAGAACACCGGUGGCGAAGGCGGCCUGCUGGGCAGUUGCUGACGCUGAGGCGCGACAGCGUGGGGAGCAAACAGG